UUGAGGAAUAUUGGACAAUGGGCGCAAGCCUGAUCCAGCCAUGCCGCGUGCAGGAAGACGCAUCUAUGGUGUGUAAACUGCUUUUGUACGGGAAGAAACACUCCCUCGUGAGGGAGCUUGACGGUACCGUAAGAAUAAGGAUCGGCUAACUCCGUGCCAGCAGCCGCGGUAAUACGGAGGAUCCAAGCGUUAUCCGGAAUCAUUGGGUUUAAAGGGUCCGUAGGCGGUUUAAUAAGUCAGUGGUGAAAGCGCAUCGCUCAACGAUGGAACGGCCAUUGAUACUGUUAGACUUGAAUUACAAGGAAGUAACUAGAAUAUGUAGUGUAGCGGUGAAAUGCUUAGAUAUUACAUGGAAUACCAAUUGCGAAGGCAGGUUACUACUUGUGGAUUGACGCUGAUGGACGAAAGCGUGGGGAGCGAACAGGAUUAGAAACCCGUGUAGUCC
rnacentral:rRNA from 1 species